ACCCUAGCUGAUGAAAGGAGCAUUCAGAAGCCUGAUAACAGAGGGGAAGAAGCUGUUCCUGAGUCUGUUGCUGCACGCUUUCAAGCUCGUGUACCUUUUGCCCGAUGAGAGUUGG